rnacentral:sRNA from 1 species
GCCAGGCUUGGUGGAGCAUGCCUGUAAUCCCAGCUACUCCAGAGGCUGAGGCGGGAGAUGGCAAGUUCAAGGCCAGCCUCUGCAACUUAGCAAUAUCCUGUCUCAA